UUAUUGACUGCUGCUGGUGGUUGGGGGGACACAUAGACCGCAGCCAGAGGGACUAAAAGGCAUCGAAACAAAGGAAUAGGCUGGGUUAUGGCAGGAUCUCGGGAGGGUGGAUUUAGGCAACAAUUAACGAAGCUGACUUGGAGAGACUGAAAACACAGCAAGUUUGUGAGUCGGAAUUAACAUUAAGCCUGGCCUAGAAGCUGCCUCACGACCCUCAAAGAGAAGAUGAAUGUGGACUGUUGUCUUCCAAACUCCCAUAUCCAGAGCUCUGCACUUGGGUGGCAAACUGAGAUCAUUUCUCUAUGUCAAAAUGACCCAGGGGCUCAGAUCUGGUGGCAAUCGUGGAAUGUUCCAUUUUAUUGAUUUGAUUUCAAACAGCAAAGGUUCUAGAAAACAAUUUUUCUCAGCACUAUGUCCUUGAUGCUAAUUAACAAUGGCAGUUGUCACAGGCUCCUACUGGCAAUCCUUGAAGUAACGAGUCAGCCACAUUCCUUUUUCCAGAACAUUCCUUCCAUGAACCCCUACCACGAGCUGUAGGAUCCUCUUCUCCAAGGAACUCCCAGUCCAGCAGGCAUCUUUUCAUCACCUACUUUCUCCUGCCUAGGCCUGGAAGGGAAGGAACACUGCCUGUUUUGUUCAGAUGAACUGUCAGCACCCUCUUUCACAACUCCUGCCUGCCUGCCAUCUACACACACACACACACCCACAGGCACAUGCACCGCACACAUACACACAAUUCACUCUCCCCUCUGGGGAUCACUGGGUUUCAACAGCCGGCAGUCUAAUCAAUAUGCUGAACUUUGCUGCCCCCUAGAGAUAGCCCCAAAGAAUAUCACUAUUGCUUCAAGAGUUAGGCUUGAAAUGAUUUUUUGUCACCCAUUUUCCUUUCCUUGCUUUACUUUUUUUUUUUCAUUUCUUUCUUUUCUUUGCUUUACUUUCGAAGACUUACAAAACAAGGUUAUGCCCUGCUCAAAAAUAUUAUAAAAUAUAUAUUACCAAGAGCUAUGAGCUUGGACACGUAAUCACAACUGACACUUUCACAUCCCUUUUGCUUAAUAGAUGUAAAAAUGCAGAACAUGAAGAUUUAGUUUAUGAGAACUUGGCUUUAUAAUUUUACAGGGAUUAUCAAAUUCAUCCAGUUGGUGAAACCAGCAACUUUUUAUUAGUCUAAAUUACCUUCAUAACACACACACAUAGAAUAAACCCAAUGGGUGGGUAAAGAACGCUCCAAGCUGUCCUUGUCCUUCACAGCAUUUCUAACAGAUCCUCAUUACCUCUGUGUGGCUAUUUAGUUGGUUAAGUCCCUUUCCCCUCUUGUGCUGUUAACCUCACCACAUUUCAGGGUUGCAUUUCACACCAAGGACAGCAGAGUUAUGGAGAAAAGUACACAACACAGCAGGGUACCCCAGGGGCCAGGAAGGGAGUCAGAGCUCCCAAAAGGCAGAGUGAGAUGCUAGAAAAUAAAAAUCUACAAAGAACAAAAUAUUACAGUUAGCAGAUAAUUAUUACAACAAAAGAUUUAAAAAUAACAUUCAUUACAUUUCUUUAUUGUACAUAAUCAAUUAUUUGAUGUACAAAAAGUACCUAGGUUACUAGUAUUAAAUUAAAAUUACAACCAAUUUUGAAUUUAUUACUGGUAAGUGUAGACAUGGUAUAAGGAAAAUGAUAGCCCCUUUCUAGAUAACCCAACAUAGAAAGGCAUAGUGUAAAUAUAAUUAUGCAAAAUGGAUAAUUCACAUGAUAUUCUUUUUAAAAUCCUAAGUCCCCCCAAACCCAGUUCUUUCAGCCAAGUUCUGAAGCCAAUAUUCCUUCCUGUUACCAAUGAACACCAGUUCUUUGAGAAAAUAGUUUUCUUUGUAAAUAUUCCACCAAUUCUAGUCUUGAUUUUAGCAUCUCAACCUCAUGAUAUGGGAUCUGUAAAGGCAGAAAAUAAAACUGGUCAUAACCCUUCACAAUCUGGGAUCACUAUAGCUUUGUUACCUUGUCUGUUCCUCACAUCCUCUAUACAGCAGAAUGUGAGCUCCUGGAGGAAAAAGACCACCACCAGCUUACUCAUCCUGCAGCCCCAGGGCCUGAACAGUGCCUGGCACAGAGGAGCUCAGUAAAUAAACACUUGCCAAACAAAUGAACAUCUACAUAAGAAAUAAACAAGAGCCCUGUGCUCCAGGUGCUCACAAUUAAGGUGGCACAAGUUAAAUUACACAAUAAAUUAAAAAGCAAGCAGCAGGCUGGCGAUCUAGUACUGAGAGGGAGCCGACAUCUUAUUGGACGAGGUGAGGGUCAGAGGAAGACACUCAGAGCCAGAGGGUGCAGCAUGGGCAAAGCCUGAAAGACCAGACAGAACAGAGAGGCUCAGGAAAGGGAAUGAGCGCUCAGCCCGGAGCACAGGGGCCGCGUAACAGACCAUGUGCCUGGGCUCGGCUGCAGACAGCCUAUGGAGGGUCUGGAAUGUUAAAUGUAGUCAAGGUUUUACUUCAUCCUCCAAGCGGUAAAGAAACAAUGAAGCGUUCUGAGCACACAUGGGCAUGAUUAGCUUAAGGAAAAUUAAAUCUGGGAAUGUCAAAGAUAAGAGUGGAAAAGUCAGCAGGUCUGAAACCAGUGAGCAGACUAGUACAGGUAGCACAGGGCCUCAAACACCAAGUGUUGACAAACAUUCUGGUUUUAGUGCAUCAUCCUGUUCAUUUUUGUUCAUUAAACCAGGAGAAAAUUAUAAGAAAAGAGAUAACUCAGUAAUUCUAAAAGGAGAGGUAAGCAUAGUUUACAAAGUAUGUCCCACUUUUGAAAAAGGAAAGCUUUGAAAAUUCUGUAUUUCAAAAUAAGAGUCAAGAGACAUUAGGCUAAUUAACAAAGUUGGUACUUAAACCAGACAUAAGAUCCUUGGGUUCUUGGGCUGGCAAACAUAUAGUACUGUUUAAGUAAAAUGGAGACUGGGCCUGAAAAAUCCUUAAGCACACAAAGCCAGGUAGGUAUUGAAAAUAACCUUAACCUUGCUUAAAGAGCAAAUGUUAGGUGAAGUUUAACUGGGGCUAUUUCUUGUAAAUGCUUCUAUUAGAGAACAACAGUACUUAAGCUCAACCAAUCAGAAGCAUGCCACAAACCUAUAAUUAUGUAAGCAGAGUCUUUCUCCAGGACAGAUCACAUAAGGCAACUACGUAAUUGUAACCAACCGGAUACUGUGUUCUUCCUAUGGAAGACUCCCCAAUGCUCCCUGGGCCAGUGCCCAAAUCACUUGUGGUUCUGGGCUGUCAGAUUUGUGAGCCA